rnacentral:tRNA from 1 species
GGGCCCGUGGUCUAGUGGUUAUGACGGCAGUCUCACACACUGCAGGUCGUGGGUUCGAAUCCCGCCCGGUCCA